CCUACGGGUGGCAGCAGUGGGGGAUAUUGCACAAUGGGGGGAACCCUGAUGCAGCGACGCCGCGUGGGUGAAGAAGCGCCUCGGCGCGUAAAGCCCUGUCAGCAGGGAAGAAACUGACGGUACCUUAAGAAGAAGCCCCGGCUAACUACGUGCCAGCAGCCGCGGUAAUACGUAGGGGGCAAGCGUUAUCCGGAUUUACUGGGUGUCAAGGGGGCGCAGACGGCGAUGCAAGCCAGGAGUGAAAGCCCGGGGCCCAACCCCGGGACUGCUCUUGGAACUGCGUGGCUGGAGGGCAGGAGGGGCAGGCGGAAUUGCGGGUGUAGCGGUGAAAUGCGUAGAUAUCAGGAGGAACACCGGUGGCGAAGGCGGCCUGCUGGACUGCAACUGACGUUGAGGCCCGAAAGCGUGGGGAGCAAACAGGAUUAGAUACCCCAGUAGUC
rnacentral:rRNA from 1 species